rnacentral:lncRNA from 1 species
UAUUUUGAGGACUUGAAAUCUUUUUUUUCUUCAUAUCCACACAUCUUGAUAUCGAAAUGAUCAAUUAAAUUUUUUUUCAACCUUAAAACAGCCUUUUACGAAGGAGUUUUUAGGUGCAUUGAGAUUCUAAUUUUUAAAGUGUCAACCUUAUAUAGAUUGUUUCCUUAAAGAAAUACAUGAGUUUGAACUUUUUUUAAUUAUUUUUUUGAGAAAAGAAUUGAGUUCAACGAACAUAAUUUUCUUCAAACAAAAUAUGGGAGCAUUCUUUGCUAAAAAAAAAUGUUUGGGUUCGGCCAGGGUAUGGCUAGGAUAUUUUGGGAAAAUUUCAAUGCCAACUAGGGAC